rnacentral:rRNA from 1 species
AGCUGAGAGGUCACAGUUAUACUGAAACAAGGAUAACCGCGCUAAUGCGCGCCAGCAGUAGAGAAUUUUGGGCAAUCAACGAAAGUUGGACCCAGAGAUGUCGCCUUUUAGGGUUUUAUGACUUCGAUGGGCGCCUUAGACCUUUGAUUUACCAACGACCGACCAAAAGCCAAUUGGGGGGUCGUUGGUCGAUCGGUCGUUGGCACCCCGUUCGACGUCUUUUUAGGGGCCAGGAUCCAUUGGAUCCCACCGGGCCCGGCCCACGGCGCCUUUUGGCGCCCAGUCCGUCAAAAAGACGUGCCAGCAGACGCGGUUAUACGUCUGGACUGAGUUUUAACCAAAAAACAGGCGUAAAGUGUGAAGAGGGUGGGUGUUUGGCAAAGGGGGGUUUUCGGCCACCGCUGGCUCCCCUUACUUUUGGACCCGGUUUAAUCCGGGUCUUGCCCGCUAUACAGAGAAAAACAAGGUAAUUGGUACUUUUAGGUAUUGGUGAAAUAAUUCAAUCUAAAAUGGAACACCGGAGACGAAGGUUAAUUACCAAAAAGUUCUGUCACUUUUUUUCACGAAAACAUAGGGAACAAACAGGAUUAGAUACCCUGGUAGUCUAUUGUUGUAAAAGCUGAUCUAUCGCGGCAUAAUUUCCAUGUCGCCUUGAUAACUCGAAAAGAUUCCGCCUGAAUAGUACGACCGCAAGGUUGAAAUUCAAAAAAUUUGGCGGUUCACUAAUCCAAUUAGAGGAGCGUGUAGUUUAAUGCGAUGAUCCGCGAAUAACCUUACCAGAACUUGAAUAAAAGGAAUCGACCGUCGACCGACCAAUCGGUACCGUACUAGUCGAACCGAGAUUUCGGACCCUUCGUUGGUUGGGGCCCCUUUUACAGGUAUCGCACGGCCGUCGUCAGUUUGUGUUGUGAAACUUUUUAACGAACUUAACCCCUUUUUUGAUAAAAAUGGGGCCUCAAAAAGAGAGAUUUCCUCUGGGCGCCAAAGGCGCCGAGGCUUAUUUGUAGCAAAAUAGGCGGAUCCAACGGAUCCGCCCACCAAUGACUGCCCGACCGAUUGGGGGGAGGGUCCCCCCAAUCGGUCGGUCAUUGGCUCCCCUUUUCCCCCUUUUUAUCUUUUUUUUUGGGAUGACGUCAGGUCUUCAUGGUCCAAAUGUUCUGGGCCCGGCGCCUUUUG